UCCGCUCGGCGCUGGGGGAAUCCCAGGCGUCCCCCCGCCCUCUCUUCCCUCUUUCUCUCUCUCUCUUUUCAUCUUCUCUUUCAAAAUGCUCUGAAGAGUGGGAAAGCUGGCAGGAAAGGAGAGAAAAUGAGGCUCAGAAGGAACGGGUCUGCCGGGCAGCAGUUUGUUCACGUGAGGUUCUUCUUCCCAGGAACCUCGGUGCUGAAGGGUCCCCAGGCCUCGUGCCACCCGCGGGCAGCAGGCUUGGGAGCAGCUGGGGGAUGAGCCUCCUGCUCCCUCCUGAACACAGAGGGGGGAGACGGUGGGGCCUGGCCUCACCGCAGCAGUGAGGUCAGGGCCGCAGGAGGCCAGGUAGGUGCCAGGCCUCUGCUGGCCUCUGUGGGAGCCAUGCUGGAGACAGGGACAAUGGGUUCUCUCCCCUGCCUUGAAGGCGAGAGCUUGAGGUCCCAGGUGGAGGGGAAGAGGCCUGGACGCGGGUGUGGCGUCCCAGUAGGGUAGUUUCCAGGCCUGGUCACCCCAGGAACUCAGGCCAGCACUGACUCCUCCCGCCCACCUGGACACAGGCUCUACAGAAGAGCCGGUCAGAUACCAGCUAAGGACUCCCCAGCACCCCAGCGGGGCUUGGUGCUUCAAGAAAGCUCCAACAGGCCUCCACCCAUGCCCCUCCUCUAUCCAUCCUGAACUGACCUUCCUGGCCACCUCUCUCUGCCCACAGGACCAUAUCUGAGAAGGAUGGAGCUGGAGAAGACCCACCCAGGCCCCUUGCCAGGAGAGAAAUGGUUCCUUGGCUGCCCACCGCCAACGCCAAGUGUCUGGGUCAGGGCAGAGAAGCAGAGCCCUGCAGGACUGGCAAGACUGGAUUCCUUUUCAGACCAGAUGCCACUGGGUGGCUGGUGGCACUGUCACAGCUGGGACUGGAGCCAAGUCUGCAGGGGCGAGAGACCCCACAGCACCAACCACACCACAGCCUGGGGUCUGCAUGCUGAGCCCAAAGUGGCCUGGACCUGUCCUGGGUGAGCAGAGAGCCCUGUGCUGGUCCCUGCAGCCAUGGAGAAGCCCUCCCCCAGGAAGGACUGGGAGGCAGGUCAGCUGUGCCCUGGCCGCUCCGAGGGGUCCCUGCAUGGCCCCCAGGCGUCCUCUCUGCAUGGCCAUCCUCAAGGUCAAGCAGCUCUCCCUGGGAGUCUCCAGAGACGAGCCGCUAGCCAUGCCCUGGAGACGACCACUGCACUCCAGGGCCCCAGAUUUGGUUCAGGAAUUACGGAUUGCAGGGAGGAGGGGUCUGUCCUGGAGCCAGCCCCCAUGGUCAGGGCCGGAGUCGCCCCCUCCUCUUUCCAGCCACAGCCAUAGGAGCCUCAUGGGUUGGGAGGGCAGUGAGGACCAAUCUGUCCCGUGCCCAGGGUCUCGCCCCUCCCGAUCUGCACCCCAGGACAAGCUCACCCGCUCCCGUGGCUUCCUCCUCAAGAGCUUCUGCCUUCAACCUCUGUCCCUCUCCCCGUCUCCCUCUGUCUCCCCAACACACGCACGCCCCGGCUCCCCGGCCACCCUGCUCACCUACCCGGCUACUGCACCCUUCCGGACGCCACAUAGACAUCCCUCUCUCAGAGGAUUUUUCCGCCCCCAAUCCUGGGACAGGUGCCCCAAGUUUCCCCCUCUUCACGUCAAUCCUGCUGGGCUGGCAUUGCCUGCCUCCCUGGACAGAACACCGCUUGGGAGCAAGACCACUGGAUGCCCUGUGCCUGGCGCAUGGUAGAUGCCCAGGAAAUAAAUGUGAAAGGAACCAACUUUCCCAGCAGAGAGCAAACGCCCAACCCCCAGGGUUAGGGACUGGUGAAGAGCCAACGGGAAGUAUAGCAGUACCUUCGAAGGGCUGCUGGGGAGAAGGCCCAUCCUGCAGCCACCCCAUCCCCCAGCCCCGCAGCCCCUCCCCCCAGCCCCUGCCAUCCGCAGCCAGGCAAGCUCACACUCCAAGACAGAGCUGGAGGCUGGCGGCUCUGCCAUCAUCUGAGGCAGGCUCGUCAGCCGUUACCAUGGAGACCAGCCAGCAGUCAGCUCCGUGCCCUCCUGCUGCAGGGGCCGGGCAGAGCAAAGGUAGAGCCAGCUGCACCCAGAGAGAAGCCACUGAGAGAGAGGAAGCCUGUGUCCCUGUACCCAGACAGGUCUGUGGAGGCCAGUCCCCACCCACUCCUCCUCUUUCCUGUAGAUGGGUGACCUCAGGCAAGUCACUUUACCUCCCUGAGCUUCCUGGAAGGAAUGCAGAUGAGGCUGCCAACCUCACAGUGGCACAGGGAUGAAUUGAGCCUGUUAGGGCACGAGACUGUCACCAUGUCAUCCCAGUGUGUUAAGCUCUGCUCUGUGCUAGUUUUCCGGGACUGUCAUGAGGGUUUCUGUCCACAGCCCUUGUGUCCAGUUCCCCCACCCCACCCCUAACUUAGGCGGGGCUGGAGGAAGGAAGAGAGGCUCUGUCCCAAAAUAGCACAAAAAUAUGAUAUUGUGUGACAUCUGAAAACAAAGGACACCUACAGGGCUGCUGCUAACCAAACGUCGAAGGUGGCCUGGCUCUGAGGGUCACUACCUUGCUGCCCUGGGUGCCACCCUGCCCACUUCCUGUAAUGAGCUAAUCUCUAAGGGUGGCAGCCCUGCUCCUGAAGGACUUAAGGUGGCAUUCCACCGGAAGAGCAGCCUUCAAGUCUCAGGGAGCUUGGGGAGGGAGGACAUCCUGGCUACGGGUUGCCUUAAACAACCACUUGUCUUGGUACCAGGGAGGACAGGUCAAGGUGCUGCAGCCGGCCCUGAGCACGAGAAAGCUGCUCUCCAGCUCUCCACAGCCACAUGGAUCCUGGUGUGGUGUUGAUCACCCGUGUUUCCUUCCCCCAAAUGUCACCUCCGUCCAGCUCCUGGGCAGGGGGAGCUCAGCUGUGUUCCCAAUGGGAGAACCUGCAACCCGUGCACUGGUCAGUUGUUGCUGCCACCAUGCUGCAUAACAAGCCAUCCCAGAAGCCUCCGGGGCUUGGACAACAAAGCUGACUGAUUUGUUUUUUUAUUCCUGGGUCCAGGUCAGCAGGGGCCCUGCUCCAGGUGCCUUUGCAGGUGGCAUGGUCACACGCAGCAUCAGCAGGGCCUGAGAAGGUCUGCAUCCACUCGGGGGGGGGGGGUUGUAAAGCCACCUGGCAAAGGACACAGAUGUGAAAAUCUAUUCCAGGGAGAGAUGGAAAGAAGACUAGGAAACAAGAACCCAAUUUGCCACAAACUAUCAAAUGGAAGAAAUUAAAAAGAAUAUGUCCCUUGCAGGGUAGAACGUCUCUACGGACAGGUGCAUUGAAGGUGUGCUGUCAACGACAAAGCACAGAUAAAUGCAUUAUCCUGUGUC